UAGAACGCUGAAGGAGGGAGCUUGCUCUUACCGGGAUGGAGUUGCGAACGGGGUGGAGUAACGCGUAGAGUAACCUACCUGGUAGCGGGGGAUAACUAUUGGAAACGAUAGCUAAUACCGCAUAACAGUAGAUAUUGCAUGAUAUCUGCUUGAAAGGGGCAAUUGCUCCACUACCAGAUGGACCUGCGUUGUAUUAGCUAGUUGGUGAGGUAACGGCUCACCAAGGCGACGAUACAUAGCCGACCUGAGAGGGUGAUCGGCCACACUGGGACUGAAACACGGCCCAGACUCCUACGGGAGGCAGCAGUAGGGAAUCUUCGGCAAUGGACGGAAGUCUGACCGAACAACGCCGCGUGAGUGAAGAAGGUUUUCGGAUCGUAAAGCUCUGUUGUAAGAAAAGAACGAGUGUGAGAGUGGAAAGUUCACACUGUGACGGUAUCUUACCAGAAAGGGACGGCUAACUACGUGCCAGCAGCCGCGGUAAUACGUAGGUCCCGAGCGUUAUCCGGAUUUAUUGGGCGUAAAGCGAGCGCAGGCGGUUAGAUAAGUCUGAAGUUAAAGGCUGUGGCUUAACCAUAGUACGCUUUGGAAACUGUUUAACUUGAGUGCAAGAAGGGAGAGUGGAAUUCCAUGUGUAGCGGUGAAAUGCGUAGAUAUAUGGAGGAACACCGGUGGCGAAAGCGGCUCUCUGGCUUGUAACUGACGCUGAAGCUCGAAAGCGUGGGGAGCAAACAGGAUUAGAUACCCUGGUAGUCCACGCCGUAAACGAUGAGUGCUAGGUGUUGGGUCCUUUCCGGGACUCAGUG
rnacentral:rRNA from 1 species